rnacentral:rRNA from 1 species
GAUGAACGCUGGCGGCGUGCCUAAUACAUGCAAGUCGAGCGAACAGACGAUGAGCUUGCUCCUCUGACGUUAGCGGCGGACGGGUGAGUAACACGUGGAUAACCUACCUAUAAGACUGGGAUAACUUCGUGAAACCGGAUCUAAUACCGGAUAAUAUAUUGAACCGCAUGGUUCAAUAGUGAAAGACGGUUUUGCUGUCACUUAUAGCUGGAUCCGCGCCGCAUUAGCUAGUUGGUAAGGUAACGGCUUACCAAGGCGACGAUGCGUAGCCGACCUGAGAGGGUGAUCGGCCACACUGGAACUGAGACACGGUCCAGACUCCUACGGGAGGCAGCAGUAGGGAAUCUUCCGCAAUGGGCGAAAGCCUGACGGAGCAACGCCGCGUGAGUGAUGAAGGUCUUCGGAUCGUAAAACUCUGUUAUUAGGGAAGAACAAAUGUGUAAGUAACUAUGCACGUCUUGACGGUACCUAAUCAGAAAGCCACGGCUAACUACGUG